AAAUUAGUAAGUAAGUAUGUCAGGAAGGAAGCAAGCAAAUAAACAAGCAAGAUUUAAGUAAGGUAACAAGUAAUCGAGUAAGAAAGUGAGCAAGUAUUGAGGUAAGAUAUCUAAAAAGAAAGUACACAACUAAAAACAGAAAAAAUUAAGCCUUUCGGUAAGGAAGGAAGGAAGCUGGUUAGUAGGUAUGUUAGGAGGGGGGUAAGUAGGCAAGUAAGGAAGUAGGCAAGUCAGUAAGUAUGGAAGUGAGCGAGUAGACAAGUAAGGAAGUGAGCAAGUCAGUAAGUAAGGAAGUGAGCAAGUCAGUAAGUAAGGAAGUGAGCGAGUAGACAAGUAACAAAGUAAGCAAGUCAGUAAGUAAGGAAGUGAGCGAGUAGAUAAGUAACAAAGUACGGUAAGCAAGCAGGAG